UACGGGGGGGGCAAGCGUUGUUCGGAAUUACUGGGCGUAAAGGGCUUGUAGGUGGCCAACUAAGUCAGACGUGAAAUCCCACGGCUUAACCGGGGAACUGCGUCUGAUACUGGAUGGCUUGAGUGUGGGAGAGGGAUGCGGAAUUCCAGGUGUAGCGGUGAAAUGCGUAGAUAUCGGAAGGAACAUCAGUGGCGAAAGCGACUUCCUGGACCAGUACCGACGUUCAGGCACGAAAGCGUGGGGAGCAAACAGG
rnacentral:rRNA from 1 species